GAAGUAAGCAGUAUGAACAUUUACACCUUUUAGUAAAUUGCCUGUCUAGACCAGGAAAGUACAUAACUACUAUUCAUGAGAUAUAUAGUUGUCUGACAAUUGCCAAAAUUUCACUUGCAGGCCUCUUAUGGUUUUGCUGUCUUUAACCUUUAAAUUACUAACUUUUAAACUUAUCCUUCACUGUUAGUGGCAUCCACAUAUUUCAUCAUAUUGAGUAAUUUUAUUACCCUUUAAAAACUUUUAGUAUAAAGAAUUAACCAAACCAAUUUGGUGAAAUUAUUCACUUUCUAUGUGUGAAUAAAUAAGGUACCUCAGUAGUAAGAACUAGUGGGAUUAAUUGCAAUAUUGAUGAUACUUACAUUUCUUUGUUUUCCUCGGGACCUUGUUAAGUGAUGGAUGGCAAAUAAUGGAGUGUAAAAAUAACUUAGAAGUAUAUUUGUUUAAUCUAGGGCUAAUAAUUUCCCAAGAAAACUAACUUGCUAUCUUGAACAGACAGUCCAAAACAAGAAUGCUCUAAAUUCAGGUAAUAUGAUGCAUACGCAGUAACAAACAUUUAAUUCAAGUCUUGAAAGUUUUGGAAUGUACAUAUUCCAUCUUUAGCACAAAAUAGCUAUAGAGUAUUAUUCUCAUAUCACCAUUUAAUAACAUUAGCAACAGAUUCAUUCAACAGGGAUCAAAGUUUAAUGAUGAACAGUAGAACGAUGGCAGCAACAAUGAACAUUUGACACGUGUGUGUAUAGUAAUUGUUUGUUACUGUACACACACACACACACACAGUGUCAAAUGUUUGUUAUUGCUGCCAUCGUUCUACUGUUCAUCAUUAAACUUCAAUUCCCAUCAACUAAAUCUUGUACAUAAUUUUGUGUUAACCAAACUUUGAUGUCAAACACAUGGAAUAUGUUGGUAGAAUGCAUCCUCAAUGGAUGUUAUGUAUUUUAAAUACCCCUUGACAUGUGUCCCUAAGAUAAUAGUUUGUGAUGGACAAAUUGUAAUGACAAAUUCGUUAAGAGAAUUUAGAAGGUUUGUAAGUGGAGGAUUUACUUAAUAAUUAUUUUCACUGUAUUGGUCAUACUUUUAUUGUCAUUACAUAUCAAAUUCUUUUAUCAAAUACAAUUUCUAUAAUAAUAAAGCACAACAUACCUGCAAUCAUUGUGUUAAAACAUGCAACGCAUUCUUGUAAUGCUUGAGAGCGAGGUGUUUAAUUAGAUUAUAAUAUAUCUGAAAGUCAAGUUUAGCAUCCAUAUUAGCUUUUUCUUUUUACAAGCCUCAACUCACGUGGUGGUUUUAAAUUUGGUUUGUCCUCACUUUAUGUGGAGUAUUUAUCAGGUUGACCUUGUUUUGUGGAUUUUUUACCUAUGUUUAUGAAUUCCAAGAUAUUCUAAAAUGUCUUUGGUUGAAACUAUGAUUCUUCAUCUCUUGUGAAUUUGGACACAUUGUGAUAUACACCUAAUUCUUCUCCAUGAAUAUAUUUAAUAAGUCCAUGUAUCUCACUUCUACUGUAUAUAAACUAACAUGAAGAAUUUUACUGUCUAUUGCUUUUUUUAUCCCAAUCAAGGUUGUUGAAACUAAUUAAGUAAACUUACUUCAGGAAGUUAGAUCCUGAAUACUUCAGAACCUGUGUUUGUUUGUUGAAUAUCACACAAAACUACUCAAGAUGUCCCUAAUUUUAAAACAAUAAGACUAGAGGGAAGAUAGCUAGUUAACACCACCUUCUGCCAACUCUUGGGUUAUUUUAAAAAAUAAAUAGUGAGAUUGACUCGCAUUAUAAUGCCCCAAAGCUGAAAGGGGGGAGCAUGUUUGAUGACAGUAUUCAAAUCAGGAGAUUGCAAGGCAAGUGCUCUAACAACUAGGGCAUGUCAGGUCACAUUCAUCAGACAUAAACCUUUGCAUAUCACCAUAGCUUGAAGAACUUUCCAAAUUCUUUGAGAUUAUCUGUCUUUUCUUAUCAGUUUUACCAUAAACAGUAUUUUGUUGAGGCAAGUAUCAUAUACUAAACUCUCCUAUAGUUAAAAAGUUUCAGAAACUAAAUGCUUGCAAUUAGGAAAUUUAUUAUUGGUCAUGUGCUAAACUUAUACCUAUGUUCUAGCCUUUUUUUCAGCACAUGCUAAUCUAAGUUUAUUCCCCACCAGAAAAUGGCUUAUUGGUGGUCUGAGUCACCUCAGUGUUAGGCUGUUGUACAAGUUCACAAAGGAAGAUACAUCCAAAUUCUGAAUGUUGCAGUCUCAGCUAUAGGAAGCUGUACGAAUUAAUAAAGGAAUCAUCUACUAGGCUUGAGCUACAAACGACUAGAAAUAUGUGUACCUAAAAGAUUUCUUGACUGGCCUGAUUUGUUACUGUUGGUUCUUGUAUACCUGUUCAUGUAAUUUUUUUUGCAAUCUGUUCACAAAUUACUAAGCAGUAGCAUUCUUCUUUUUAAACAGGGAACAUGGUCAAGAUUGCAGCACAGAUUCUUUGUGCAUUUGUUUCUUCUGGAUUUAAUUCCAUCACUGCUCUUACUUGCUCUGCAGGAAAAAUUGAUGACAAAUGAUAGAAAACUUUGUGCCGAGAAUCAUCC